CGGGAGGUGCCGACCACCUGAGGAGGACGAGUCCUACAAGUAUGUCAACCCCGAAGACCUGGAGGCGCAGAUCCGUGCGGAGGACAACAAUGUGCAGACACCUAUUGUGGCCCAGCCCCCAGCUGCUGGAGCAGAGCCGUCGCCGGGUGUCAGCACCAAGACGGACGCAUGAGGCUGGCCUCACCCCCGCCAACAGCCCCAGGACUCUGGGCAGGGAUCCCCCUUUGGGACUGUCCCUCUCCAGGACCCCUGUCGUGCCACCCAGGGUGGCUGUCCAGCCUCACUGUGGCUA